AGAGUUUGAUCCUGGCUCAGGACGAACGCUGGCGGCACGCCUAACACAUGCAAGUCGAACGGAGAAAAUGAUUUCGGUUAUUUUCUUAGUGGCGGACGGGUGAGUAACACGUGAGUAACCUGCCUCUGAGAGUGGGAUAGCUUCUGGAAACGGAUGGUAAUACCGCAUGAAAUCAUAGUAUCGCAUGGUACCAUGAUCAAAGAUUUAUCGCUCAGAGAUGGACUCGCGUCUGAUUAGCUAGUUGGUAAGGUAACGGCUUACCAAGGCGACGAUCAGUAGCCGGACUGAGAGGUUGAUCGGCCACAUUGGGACUGAGACACGGCCCAGACUCCUACGGGAGGCAGCAGUGGGGAAUAUUGCACAAUGGAGGAAACUCUGAUGCAGCGACGCCGCGUGAGGGAAGACGGUUUUCGGAUUGUAAACCUCUGUCCUCAGGGACGAAAAAAGACGGUACCUGAGGAGGAAGCUCCGGCUAACUACGUGCCAGCAGCCGCGGUAAUACGUAGGGAGCGAGCGUUGUCCGGAUUUACUGGGUGUAAAGGGUGCGUAGGCGGAUUGGCAAGUCAGAAGUGAAAUCCAUGGGCUUAACCCAUGAACUGCUUUUGAAACUGUUAGUCUUGAGUGAAGUAGAGGUAGGCGGAAUUCCCGGUGUAGCGGUGAAAUGCGUAGAGAUCGGGAGGAACACCAGUGGCGAAGGCGGCCUACUGGGCUUUAACUGACGCUGAGGCACGAAAGCAUGGGUAGCAAACAGGAUUAGAUACCCUGGUAGUCCAUGCCGUAAACGAUGAUUACUAGGUGUGGGGGGUCUGACCCCCUCCGUGCCGCAGUUAACACAAUAAGUAAUCCACCUGGGGAGUACGGCCGCAAGGUUGAAACUCAA
rnacentral:rRNA from 1 species